UAAACGGCCGCGUUAGCGUGAGCGUGCUAAGGUAGCGUAAUAAAUAGCCUCUUAAUUGGAGGCCAGUGAAUGGCAAGACUAGGGAAAUCUGUACCCUGUAUAGAAAAAAAAUUUUUCAUUUGGGUGAAAAGACCCCAAUAAUAAAGGAAGACGAAAAGACCCCGCGGAACUUUACCUUUUCUUAGUCUCCACAUGCUCAAAAACACAAGAACAAAAGGUUUGAUUGGGGCAAUCUUGGAACCACCUAAACUUCCGAUUCAUAGUACAAGAACAUAUAAAACUUAAUAAGGACCAAAAAGAAGUUACCCCGGGGAUAACAGCGUAAUCCAACUUGAGAGUACACAUCGAAAGCUGGGUUUGCGACCUCGAUGUUGGCUUAAGGAUAUCCACAUAAGUGCAACC
rnacentral:rRNA from 1 species